rnacentral:rRNA from 2 species
CACCGCGGUUAGACGGGAGGCUCAAGUUGACAGACUACGGCGUAAAGCGUGGUUAGGGAAAAAAUAAUAAAACUAAAGCCGAACAUCCUCAAAGCUGUUUAACGCUUCCGAGUUAAGAAGCCCCUUUACGAAAGUAGCUUUAUUCAACCUGAUCCCACGAAAGCUGAGGAA